rnacentral:rRNA from 1 species
UACGUAGGUGGCAAGCGUUGUUCGGAAUUACUGGGCGUAAAGCGUGCGUAGGCGGUUCGUUAAGUCAGCUGUGAAAGCCCCGGGCUCAACCUGGGAACUGCGGUUGAAACUGGCGAACUAGAAUCUGGCAGAGGGGGGUGGAAUUCCACGUGUAGCAGGUGAAAUGCGUAGAGAUGUGGAGGAACACCGAUGGCGAAGGCAGCCCCCUGGGCUGAGAUUGACGCUCAGGCACGAAAGCGUGGGGAGCAAAC